UACAGAGGUCCCAAGCGUUGUUCGGAUUCACUGGGCGUAAAGGGUGCGUAGGUGGCCAGGUAAGUUUGGUGUGAAAGCUCGGAGCUUAACUCCGAAAAGUCAUUGAAUACUAUCUGGCUGGAGGGUCGGAGGGGAGACUGGAAUUCUCGGUGUAGCAAUGAAAUGCGUAGAUAUCGAGAGGAACACCAGUGGCGAAGGCGAGUCUCUGGACGACACCUGACACUGAGGCACGAAAGCUAGGGGAGCAAACAGG
rnacentral:rRNA from 1 species